rnacentral:lncRNA from 1 species
CGAAGGUCAGGGGUGGAAUCGACGUCGCUGCGGCUGCGGACGACCCCCACCCGGCCGGCGGCCUCCGCAGACCCACCUUGGUCGCGCGGCAGGGGGCGCGCAGAGCCCCGAGGGAGCGAGUCCCAGUGCGUGGGGGCUCGGUGGCUUCUCCCCUCGGGAGGUCGGACUCCUGGCUCCCCGGACCCGCCUGGCGUCCUCGGGCGGCAGCGGCAUCCAGGAAUGGCUUCGGCGGGCAGCGGCAUGGAGGAGGUGCGCGUGUCGGUGUUGACUCCCCUUGAAGCUGGUCGGGCUGUUGUGCAUCUUCCUGACGCUGUAUCUGGAUCUGGGGGCGGUGCUGAGCCCGGCCUGGAUCACAGCUGACCACCAGUACUACCUGUCGUUGUGGGAGUCCUGCCGGAAACCCGCCAGCUUGGACAUCUGGCACUGCGAGUCCACGCUCAGCAGCGGUGAGGGCCCGGCGCACCGCGACCCCUGCCUCCCGCCCCGGACUGCCUUGCGCCCUACUGCCAGGAGAGUCACCACCUGUCCCCACCUCUCCGCGUCCCCUGCCCUGGCCCGUCCCACCGCGUCCAGGCCCUUCUCGGAUCCUGAGGCUCCAACCACCUCCCUGGCGUCCACCCCUCUUCCCUCCCCAUCCCUGGCCGCCAAACCUAAAGCGACAGCCCACGUCCUCUCCCUCCCCUGUGGCCAUUCCUCCUAUUCUGCAGUAACACGUAACGCUAUUUUGGGUAUUUGUUAUCAUUUGAGGCGAGAGCCAUGUGGCUGUGUAAAAAAUGCGACGCCUUCCACACCCCAGUUAAAAAAGAAGCAGGCAAAAACGCCCCAACUCCACCGAGAUGCUGCGGGGGUUCUCUGUUGGUCUUCCCCACUCUUUUUUCCCUCCUCUCUCGAGGACGAAUUUGCCUAGGUUUACCUCUCAGUGUUCACAUUUCUGCCUGUUCCACUCCAUCUUAUCUGGAUUUUCACCAAUUAACUCAGAUUGGGAUUUUAUUUCCUUAAACUUUUGGGAGAUAGGAAGAGUUGGGAGAGGGAGGGGCUUACUUUCCUUUGUGGUCUUUGGUUGUGAGUUGCCCUCCCAUCUCCCCAGUUCAAAGUACCUCUCCUCUCCAGCCAGACCUUUAUUUAUUUCUCCUUUGCAAGAGCUGCUCACAGAUGGCCUAGGACUUUAUUGCUUAUUCGGCCAGUACUAAAAGCUGCCAAUGGAUCCCCACUGUGGGAGAUCCCAGGACAGAGUUGUCUGACAUUGGAGUUUGGAGUGGAAACAAAAUGGUAUAAAGACAUUAUUGGAAUGAUUGUUCAGUUUAAAUAGGGAUAGUUAUUGUAUAAUUAGAUAAUAUUGUAUUAAUGUUAAAUUUCCUGAUUUGCUCAUUGACAGUGGUUAAAUAAAAUAAUGUGUUUUCUGGCCAGGCGCGGUGGCUCAUGCCUGUAAUCCCAGCACUUUGGGAGGCCGAGGCAGGCAGAUCACCUGAGGUCAGGAGAUCAAGGCCAGCCUGGCCAACAUGGCGAAACCCUGUCUCUACUAAAAAUACAAAAAAUAGCCAGGUGUGGUGUUGGGCGCCUGUAAUCCCAGCUACUCAGGAGGCUGAGGCUGGGAGAAUCCCUUGAACCCGGGAGGCG